UUAUGUUCUUUGUACAUCACUCCCUGCCUUUAACCUGUAGAUGAACAAGCCCACAAUAACAAUGAAGGUCAACAAGCUCAGACGGAUGAUAAAACUCUUUAGGUGAAUGGAAAGACUGCAGCAUAAAUUUAAAGCACACAAUGCAAAUAAGGACUAGCUUAAAUGUUAAUGCACGGAAAAUGUGACUGUGACUGACCUGUGAGUCCAGUGAGGAUGAGAAGAAAGCUGAGAUGAACAGUCAUGUUGGACUAGCUUAAAUGUUAAUGCACGGAAAAUGUGACUGUGACUGACCUGUGAGUCCAGUGAGGAUGAGAAGAAAGCUGAGAUGAACCGUCAUGUUGCAGGCUUAACCGCAGAGCUGUACAUCACUUCCCCAUCACUAUUAGCAUCUGACCCCUGGGGAAGAAAGAAGAGACGGAUGUGAAACAGACGUUAAUUCAACAGUUUAACCUGUUUUUCUUUUUUGAAAUUUACAUGGUAAAGAUACAAAAUUAUAGUUAAAUAUGUGCUUCAGUUUACUUAUAUUGUGUGAUAUACAAGUUAUGAUUUCAGAGGUUAAGGGCUAUCUUGUGUGAAAGUUUUCUUGUGUGCUUAACAGUACUGUAUGUUACUUCCUCUUCAGCCUGAAGAAGGAGCAAAGCAGAUGUAAUUUGCAGUAAGGCUAUACACCAUUAUUACUGGAAUAUACCAGAUUACAUCAACAUGACCAUUUUUUGAAAAAUAGAAAGCAUGAACUAUUUAAUUUCCCUUUUAAGGGGAACAUGUGAUCAGAGGAAUUACCAUUAGGAUAUUUACAAUAAUGCUGAAUUGAAGUUCUGGUAAUGGUUACUGUUUUCUCUUCAACAAAAAUCCACAAUCUCAAAAUUGCACAAGAUGUAAUACAAAUAUUUAAUGUCCAUCCAAAGUGGUACAUUACAAUUCUGCGGCCUAUACUCAGUAAUUCCUUUUGCUGUUUUGGAAGAACACAGCCUUCCCUUGUGAGAUUUAGAUGCAAUGGAUCAUAAAGGUUUGUCUUUGUAUCAGGGAUAUGUUUUAUUCUAUUUAUUAUCAUAAUCAACUUCUUUUUGAACCAAUAAUAUCAGUAUUGAAAAACAACAGAGUAACAUUAGUAUUUUUCUGACGCAUUUUUGUACAAGCCUUCAGUUGCAUAAUUCACAAAAGCAGAACCACAGUAAAGUGAAAUGUUUCAUUAGAUUCCAAUUCCAAUCAAUGUUUCUCAACAUGAGAAAUUACACUUCUGAUGUGUGCAUUUGUGGCUAUUUUUUAAACCACUAGAUGCGUGCUUGAUAAAAGAAAAAAAAGUGAAACAAA